UACGGGGGGGGCUAGCGUUGCUCGGAAUCACUGGGCGUAAAGCGCACGUAGGCGGAUUGUUAAGUCGGGGGUGAAAUCCUGGAGCUCAACUCCAGAACUGCCUUCGAUACUGGCGAUCUUGAGUCCGGGAGAGGUGAGUGGAACUCCGAGUGUAGAGGUGAAAUUCGUAGAUAUUCGGAAGAACACCAGUGGCGAAGGCGGCUCACUGGCCCGGUACUGACGCUGAGGUGCGAAAGCGUGGGGAGCAAAUAGG
rnacentral:rRNA from 1 species